AUUUACUCAAGUAAAUAGUUGACCAAUUUACUCGGGAAUGUCAGACUUGUCCCUGCUAUGCAAUACCCCCAUUUUACAAUAAAAAACCCCGGGCAGGGGCGAGUUUGAG
rnacentral:sRNA from 1 species